rnacentral:rRNA from 1 species
AAUGGGCGCAAGCCUGAUGCAGCCAUGCCGCGUGUAUGAGGAAGGCCUUCGGGUUGUAAAGUACUUUCAGCGGGGAGGAAGGGAGUAAAGUUAAUACCUUUGCUCAUUGACGUUACCCGCAGAAGAAGCACCGGCUAACUCCGUGCCAGCAGCCGCGGUAAUACGGAGGGUGCAAGCGUUAAUCGGAAUUACUGGGCGUAAAGCGCACGCAGGCGGUUUGUUAAGUCAGAUGUGAAAUCCCCGGGCUCAACCUGGCAACUGCAUCUGAUACUGGAGAGCUUGAGUCUCGUAGAGGGGGGUAGAAUUCCAGGUGUAGCGGUGAAAUGUGUAGAGAUCUGGAGGAAUACCGGUGGCGAAGGCGGCUUUCUGGACUGUAACUGACACUGAGGCACGAAAGCGUGGGGAGCAAA